AAAGAUUCUCUCCUACCGAACCAAAUUCUCAUUCCUAAACGCUCCUAUUUUCCCCCAAACAACGACGAACCGACGGAGCCGGAGAUCGACGCCGUUGGUUCACCGAUCAUCGCUAUAUCUCAAGGGAAAAACAUACAUUAUAUGGAUUAUAGCCCAGGGUAUGAGGAUGUUUCACUAGAGAAUGUUAAGGAAUCGCUCAUCGCCAUCUCUUAUCGCGAGCCAGGAAGGUUUUCAUGUGUGACGGAACAUGAAGUUUUGAACCAUGAAAACAACGACGUUGUAGCUGUAUCUGCUGAUACGGCCAUCGAAGAAGAAUCGAGAUCCAAACUGAUGUCUAUUGCUGCUUCUUAUGGUGAUUGGUGAGGCUUAAGAUUUCCAUCAUUUGAACACGAGUUGUUAAUAUUGUGGCUUAAUAGUUAUGCAUUCAUCAUAUAAAUAUGAAAGAAUGUGUAAAAACUUGUAGUUCAUGUAAUAAUAAACAAGAAGUACAAUAUUAUUAUUA